GAGUAACACGUGAGCAAUCUACCUCUAAGAUGACAUAGCCUCGCGAAAGCGAGGGUAAUUUCAAAUAUGACUACGAUUGGCAUCAAAACGUAGUAAAAGCAGGGGACCGCAAGGCCCUGCGCUUAGAGAGGAGCUCGCGUCCUAUCAGCUAGUUGGUAGGGUAACGGCCUACCAAGGCUAAGACGGGUAGCUGGUCUGAGAGGAUGGUCAGCCACAUUGGGACUGAGACACUGCCCAGACUCCUACGGGAGGCUGCAGUCGAGAAUCUUUAGCAAUGGGGGAAACCCUGACUAUGCGACGCCGCGUGAGGGAUGAAGGCCUUCGGGUCGUAAACCUCUUUCGGUUGGGAAGAAUUUCUCUGGUAUUAAUAUGACCAGAGAUUGACGUUACUAAAAGAAGAAGCCACGGCCAACUCCGUGCCAGCAGCCGCGGUAAUACGGAGGUGGCGAGCGUUACUCGGAUUCAUUGGGUGUAAAGGGCAGGUAGGUGUCCUGUAAAGUGGGAAGUGAAAUCCUUCGGCUUAAUCGAAGAAUUGCUUUCCAAACUAACGGGAUUGAGUGUGAGAGAGGAAAGCGGAACUCUCGGUGUAAGGGUGAAAUCUGUAGAUAUCGAGAGGAACACCAGUAGCGAAGGCGGCUUUCUGGAUCACAACUGACACUGAGCUGCGAAAGCUAGGGGAGCAAACAGGAUUAGAUACCCUGGUAGUCCUAGCCGUAAACGAUGAGUACUUGGUGUCUUGGGUUAAACCGAGGUGCCGAAGUUAACACAUUAAGUACUCCACCUGGGGACUACGGCCGCAAGGCUAAAACUCAAAGGAAUUGACGGGGGCCCGCACAAGCGGUGGAACAUGUGGUUCAAUUCGACGAUACGCGAAGAACCUCACCAGGACUUGACAUGUAGGUAGUAAGAACCUGAAAGGGGGAUGACUCGUUAAGCCGAGUGCCUACACAGGUGUUGCAUGGCUGUCGUCAGCUCGUGUCGUGAGAUGUUGGGUUAAGUCCCGCAACGAGCGCAACCAUCAUCUUUUGUUGCCACCUGUUUUUGGGAAACCAAGAACAGGAGCACUCUAAAGAGACUGCCCGCGAUAAGCGGGAGGAAGGUGGUGAUGACGUCAAGUCAGUACGGCCCUUAUGUCCUGGGCUACACACGUGUUACAAUGGGGUGCACAAAGGGUUGCCAAGCCGCGAGGCGCAGCUAAUCUCAAAAAACACCCCUCAGUUCGGAUUGGAGUCU
rnacentral:rRNA from 1 species